GCCGGUGUAGCUCAACUGGCAGAGCGGGUGAUUUGUAAUCAUCGUGUUGGGGGUUCGAAUCCCUCCACCGGCU
rnacentral:tRNA from 1 species